rnacentral:lncRNA from 1 species
UUAGAAUUCCAAAAGAAAGGAACGGAUGAAAUCACCAAAACAAGGAGUCUAUAUGAAAUCUUCAACAAAAGUUACAGAUGAAGCUCAACAAUUCAUGUGAAAUUGCAGCAGCGUGAAAUUUUGAUUCUAAGGGGUACGAUACAAUCUUUCUCAAGAAUAUAAUACAGAUUUGUUCCUAUUCCGACCUUGUUGUCACGUGUUUUGUCGCGAUUGUCUUGUAUUUG